ensembl:lincRNA Gm12536 predicted gene 12536
GAUCCGGGCCUGCGCCCCCCGGAUGCCCGACGUGGCGCGGAGACCUGGGGCUACCAGCUCAACCGCUAGUCCUCCCGCGUGUCCGCCGAGCCCCGGACCGGGUGGGGGUUGGGUAAGCCCCGCGUGUCCGCGAUCGCAGCAGCCCGCGCUCCGACCCUCCCCGCAGAGGACCCAGUCUCCCAUACCUGCAGCAUCCGGGGGCGCGGGGCGCCCAGGAGAAGCAGCCAAUCCUGGUACACUUGGGGGAGCAUUUAUACAUGAAGGAAGCCUGAAACCUUGGAGAAAGAGGCAGACAACAAAUUAGAGAUUAUCAUUGAGGGCUGGGACAAGAGCCUUCUCCAGCACCCCCAGGAAGGAC